AGUAAGGUACUGAAAUGUGUUUAUAUCACGUAGAAUUAUACUUAAUUUGCAUUUGGUGAAUAAUUAAAGAUAUAAUUGCGAACUGCAUUCAGUAUAUUUUAUAGGUUAAGUAAUAACCAAGGAAUUGUGGGCGGUUGUGGGCGCUCUCCACCCCCUAGCGAUGGUGUAUCGUGGCUUCGCCGCGGCUGGAGGCGGGGACCAGCCGAUCAUGUCCAGGGACUAUCAUAGUGCAGGUGAACAUGGUGAGGACUUGGUAGAGGGCCCCCGGUCGCGGGACGAUAGCGAUACCCGCAGCGUCGACUCGGUGCCGUACCGUCGAGGUGGCAGGCGAGAGGAAGACGAGGGACCCACCCGCGAGAGGCGGCCAUUUCGGUCCAGGUCCGGGGAAUCGCGAGAUGAACGACCUAGGUACCCGGACGGCCCCCGGCGCGUGGACAGGCCUCCAGGCGGUCCUCGCAUGCGAACUAAUCGCAACGAUGACAGGUACUCGGAGAGGCCUAGGUCUUCGAGGUACAGAGACGAAGAUGACUACGAUUACAGAGAGAACUCUCGGUACACAAGUAGGAAAGAGCCAAGGAACAUUAGGUCUAGAUCACGCUCGCAAGAUGAACCAGAUGAUUAUCCACGGUACAGGGAUAGGAAAGAUGGUCCACGUUACCCUGUCGAUGAUGAAGGCCGCUACCCGGAGACUGGGCGGUAUCGAUCGCGGGGCACCUGGAUCGGCAAUUCCAGCAGGUACGAUGCGGACGAUGGCGGUACAUCUGUUCCGGAGGAGCCCGCGGUCAAGAACAUAUACCAGAAUGAUGGAAGUUUCCUAGAAAUGUUCAAGAAGAUGCAGGAAGCUCAAAAUCCAAAAUCUGAAGAAGGUGCAAGUGCUAGCACUUCGGAAACGGAUGGUGCGGGAAAAUCGGACGAGCAAUCCUCUGCCGCGGUACCUAAGAAGCCAAUAAUAUCUAUGGUGGGGAAGCGUAGAGGGGGGCGUGUCCUGCCCACCGGCAUGGUGAAGAAACUGAAACGGGAAGAAGACGAAGAGAAGCCGACCAAUGCUUGGUCGAUAUACAUGGCUGAAGUACGCAAGUACAAGGAAGCUUCAUGUGAGGAAGAAGGCAAAACAAGGCCUCUUGUUAAGUAAAGUUACAUCCAAAAUGUUCUUUACAGGAAAUGAUGUAAGCAGUAAGAUUUGUAAAUAACAGAUUGUAAAGUUUUAAUGUCGUUAGUGUGUUUUGUAGUGCUGGGCCGACAUUGUAUUCAUCUCCCGUUUGUAAAUCCUCAUGAUUAAUGCUAUUAUUUUUUGCAUUAUGAUAUAGUUCUUUUCAUUUGAGGUAGUAGUUCACAUUUCCCAUUUUUUAUUGUCGGUGUAAUGUAUAGAAAGCCCUAAUAUCUGACUUUAAAUAAAAUUUAUCUCAUAACCAAAAAGGCUAGAAGAAAUGUCUUGACUGCAAGCAAGUUGUGGUAGACUUUAAAUUAUAUUAUGUCAAGACAUUUGGUUAAAAUAAUUGAGUGUUCUGAAUAAUAUUAAAAUUGGGAGGAAGAAUAUUUCAUAUGAUGUUUGCCAGGCGGUAGCUUUUUUUUUUUUUUUAAGUUUAUAAACUUAAUGUGAUAAAAGUUGUAAUUUUUUUCUAUCAUGCUUGUAAAUAUAAAGGUUUAUGUCCGUAGCAACAGUAUUCAGUUUGUACUGUAUUUAGUACCAUGUGAAGUGUUUCCCAAGUCUGAGAAAACAUUUUGCUGAAGACUUGGAGUUUAAAAAUGGAUUGAAUUCAAUUGAAAGCAAUGCUUUGUUGUUCACAUUGAAAAAAAAAAUGCUAAUGAUGUUAAUAACUAUUGUUUUUUCUAUUGUGAAGAUAAAGGUGAAAUUUUUUUUUAGAUUCUUUUUCAUAUAACUGUAGAAUGUUUUGCAUAAGCAUUUUGCAACAUCCAGAAAUUUUAUUUGCAAUGGGCAUCAUGAUGAUUUGAUUACAAAUAGGUUCUUGGUCAAAUGCAUGAUUUAUAAAAAAAAAUGAUUAAGUUGUUUAUGUGAAUAUAAUUGGUUAACUUCUGUAUAUUUACAUAAAAUACACAAAAUUAUGUUUUGACAUUGAUGUUAUUGAAUUUUUUUCUCUUUACUGCUUAAAAAAUUAAUGGGCUUCCUAUAAAAGCUAUAUGGUAAUUGAAAUUUUUGCACCAGGCCAAUAUAAUUACCACAGUGUACCGUAAUGAUAAUUCAUAUUUGGAGGUCCAAGUAUGCUUCAGCUUCACUGUGUUUAUAUUGGACUGAUGGUUUUUUUCCAAGCUGUGCAAUUGCAAUUGGGUUCUUGAAAUUUUUCACACGUCAUUUAUUUAGCAGUUGCGUCUUGUGGCAUGCAAAUAAGUGCCUUUAUUUUUGUUUAGUUCUGACAUCAUUCAAUUUCUGCUUUACUUAGCUGUUUUUCAAAACAUAAUUUUGGUGUGAAUUUGUUUUAGUAUCAAUGGAGAAUUCUUAAAAGUUAAAUAGACAAGAAGUUUUUGUAUGUUUCAGUAUCAGAAACUGUAGUUUAUGCCUGUCCUUUUAAUUACAUGUUAUAAUUUUUCCAAUUUUAAAUUCAGGGCUGUGCAGAAGUUAUUUUUUUUCUUUUUGCUUUGGUAAAUCUUCUUGAGGGAAAGAAUUAUUUGUCAGAAUGACCACAAAUUAUUUUCAAUGAGGUGAGUUAUACCGAGUGAAAUAAUAAUAUAGGGACAAGUAAAGUCCAUUGCUAGCAUUUUCUUCCGACAAAAGACGUUUUAUCAUGCAAAUAUUAACUUAUUUUGGUAGGCAUAUGUUUGAAGAUUUAAAUGACUUAACUUGAAUUGCAUAUACAACUGAUUUUUCCUCCAGGAUAAGCAUUAAUACCAAGUUCCGCUGACGGAUUAUUUGUGUGUGACAGGACAGGGAAUCUUGUUAAUUCAGAUCUGGAAAACCUGGAAAAGUCAGGGAAUUUUAUAAUUCCAUGCUUUUAGAAUCUUAAGCUAAUGGUAAUGUGUUAUUCUUGCCAAAUGCUGUGUUUUUUCACUUUGCAUAUAAUGUUGAAAGGUUAAUGUUUCAACAGCUACGCACCAUAGCAUGAGCAUUAUCUAGGCCAGUGUACGUAAAAAAUUACAGAACAGAAGGGCAUAGAUGGGGCAAAAAAAUGGCUUCUGUUAAAAAAAUGUAAGCUAGUUUGCUUAAAUCAUGGCCGAAAACCAUGUGGAUGUCAGAUCUUGCAGCACAACUUUUGAUAUGUUUCGUAGGUUCUUUUUUCAUGUAAACGAAAAGAAUUAUGUAUUGAUUCAAAUAAACUAUUAGACAUUUUAAUGGAUUAGAAAGGGAGAAAGUUAAUAUACAAAUAAUCUCUAUUUUGUAAUGUGAAACCAUUUCAUGGCUCUAAAAAAUACUUUGUAGGUGUGUUAAGUGAUAAGAAGGCCCAUGAUGUCCGAUAUGCGUGAAAGUCAAAUAAUUUUCUAUCCGACAGUUUUUAAGUUUUGUUAAACAUGAGCUAGAUGAGUGUUUGGCAAAUGAGAUAGACAAAUGUUAGAAUAGGUGUAAAACAUAACUAGAAAUGCAAAAUUAUAAUUUACAUCCAAGAAAAUUUGUGCAUAAAUUUUUUAUAUUGUAAAUUUUAGGAACAUUAAAUUCAGGUCUUCAGGAAAAUAAUGUACAUUUUAAACUUUUUUUUUUUAUUGUUUGUCUGCAGGUAGUGAGUUUUCUAGACUUAGGUGUACAAAGUUUCGCAUCUUUCCCCAGCUUCUUUUAAGCUUAAGAUUGUUCUAAAAAACUGAUAAAUCAGUACAGCAAUGAUUACUACUACUACAAGAAAUAUAAGCAUCAGUGAUGGCUUUUUCUCAGAUUAGAUAGAAUAAUUUAAAUUUAUUAUUACCACUUGUAAUUAAAAUAUUUAAUAAGUUCACUGCAUCUGUCAAGAUACUGUGAUUUUUCAAUUGUGGUAGUACUGCUGCCAUUGUAGAGUUGAUUACUAAUGAUUGAUCAUCAUAAAUUUCCUACACUUUACACAAAAGUGAACACAAAAGUAAACCUCAAGCUUAGAGUAAUGAUGACUGGGCGAAUAUUGGUCGUUUGAACUGACAAAAUCAUCGACCUGGCAUGUAAUGUGUGUUUAUUUUAAUUUACUGGGGACUAUUCACAAAACAUUAAAUAUCUUCUGUAUUAAAACUUUUGCUUACGUGGUGCUGUGAGAUUUCGUAAUUAUGAUCCCGCUUUGUGCAGCAAAACUUUGUUUGCCAGUAAAAAAUGAAAAUAGACAUAUAGUUUCCCGCAUGAGGCAGGGUCUGCAUGGAUGGACUGGGGCUGACUCUUUGGAGCCAUCAGUCCUACUCGGACAGACCCGUCACUCAUGUUUGCCAGGAAACAUAAAAAAAAAAAAGUUUCUAAACCAUAUGCAUCACAAACAUAUUUAGAGGUUUAAUGAAAAUGAGUUUUGCUUUAAGUUUAUUAAAGUUAAUCUUGGAAGCAUUUCAAAUUUAAAAGGUUUUCCAUUUCCAUAGUUCUGUGGGAGGUCAUGUUUCAGAUAAUUCUAGUUUUGAAAAUUUUCAUGUUGUCCAUUGUACUGUGACAUGAAUAAACGAAACUGGCACAUAUAUAUUUUUUAUAUGAUUUAUAAUUGUAAAAGUUAGUUUCAUAGAAGUGUGUUCAUUAAUUUUUGGUGAGGGCAGUGAUAAUGAAUGUUUGGUUUUCUUUAGUUGUGCAGUUUGUAUGCUUUCAAUUUAAAUGAAAAACUAGACAAACAUUUUUAUUAUUGGCACUUGUUUACGUGCAUUAAGUUGAUAACAUUUGUGUGUUAUGUGGUGAAUCACAUUAAUGUUUUAUGAAAUGCCAUCCAUGCGGAUACAUCUAAUGCUAAUUUUUUUUCAUUUAGUUACUGGAUCUUAUUAGGUGUCAGUUUAUUUCAUGUAAAUGUGUGAUAGUGAAGUGGGUCAAUUUAGGAUGUUAUAUUUUUUUAAGUCUUGGGGAUAAUGUAUUGCUAAUGCAUUAAUUUUAGUUUGAAAAUUAAAGAUGUAAAUGUAUGAAUAAAUAUUAAUAGGGAUAUUUUAAAUUAUUUAAAUCAGCGAGUAUUGAAAGAUAUGUCCAGAAUAAAAAAUUUAGUUAAAAGUAAUGAUUUGUUAAAUGGUGAUAUUAAUUUUGUGGGUUAGUGGGCAGAAAAGUUUUUGAAAAAAUUUUUAAGUCAUGUGUACAUACAAUAUUUACCAAAAUAAGCAGUGCCCUCAAAUAAGCUUGUCACCCCUGAUAUCGCAAAGCAAGGAAGAUAGUCGCAACUCAGUUCUAUAACUUUUUUUUUUUAAAUCUGAGAUGUGUGCGGUAUUUUUGGUAACCUAACAACCUAAACAUCAUUAACGUUUUGAACGAAAAUAUGGCUGCCUUUUUUUUAUUUGCUGGAAAAUGUUUCAAAUUAUCUAUUUUCCAAUAUUAACAACCAGUACACUAUGUUAAAGUGCUUUAUAUUGUGUUAAAAAACUUAACUGUAUAGUGGUGAAAAUCAUAACUUCAGUUUCUAUUGUGAAAAAUACACACAAGCACACAUCUGCAUGUGACAGCCAUUCUAAUUUCAUUGCUACCAAGAUAAUUCAACACUACAAAAAAAUUUUCUCAAUAGUAUUUGUUGUUUAGGUAAUCCUUGCACCAAUUAAAAAAAAAACAAGCUUUGGAAUCAUAUUUCAAGUUUUUAUUAAAUAUUUAUUCUGGACUUGCAUAAUUAUCCCAAAUGAUAAAUUGUCUAUAAAUAUUUCUGUGAAAAUAAUACCAUUCUUGGUACCUUUGUUGACAUCUACCAGUUAUUUUUUUCAGCACACUAUUUUUGUCUCGAGGUUUAAUGUUUUAAUGUUCCCAUUAAAAUUAUUUAUCAGAUAGUAAAUAUUUUGUAUAUGCAUUAACUGUGAAUGAUAAAAUGUUUACUGUGAUGCGAGGAAAAAAGCACCAUGAAUGUAAAAUGGUUGACUGAAGUUGUUUUGUUUACUGCAGUGUAGUGCCACUAAUGUCUCGGCCAAGAGCUCAAUGCUUCGUUACAAAGAUUAUAAACAAAAUAAAUCGGGAAACUGCUGAAGACGCGGACCCAACACAUUCUCUCCUUGCAAAUAUAAUGUUAUUGCAUUACCAUCACUCAAAAACAAAUCUUAUUUUUUUCCUCCAUUCACGUAUAAAACUUUCUUCCAGUAGCAUGAUUUUCCAUUUCCUAAUUUUGAAUCAUUUUAAUUUCUUUUAGCGACUUCAGAUAAUCACUACUGCAAACCUUUGAUAACCAUUGUAACAUCUUACAAAAAAAAAAACACUCGCAAGAUGUCCAUUGUCAGUAAGCAACAGCAGGUUAACUCACCUUGAAACUUGUCAGAACUCAUGCUAUUUAGCUUUGAAAAUUUUUGAAUAAGCAGUGCACCUUGCUUUUUCAACACACAGUUACGAAAAAUUGUGUACGGAUUAUUCGGGUAAAUACGGCAUUAGUGCAAAUGGACUAAAUGUAACAAAGAUUGAACUGCCAUUUAAAAUUGUUCAUAUUGUUAUGCUGAUUGAAUAUAUACUGUAUAAUUUUAGUGGUUAAUGUAUAUUUACGAAAUUUAUUUGAAGACAGCAAGCAUUUUCCCUCUUGAAACUAGAAAUAUAGAAUUUUAUAAGUAAUGGAGUUGUCUUACUGUGCCACCUGAAGUGAUAAACAGUAACAUAACAUAUAGCAAAAUGUGUCCCACACGAAAUAAAAGUUAUUUCAAAGUAAUUACACUAUGUCUUCAUAAAAUUUAGUUUGCAGUUAUAACUAUAUGUAGCAGCACCAAAAUUUAUUUUAAAAAUCUGCAAUAAUGUAAUUUACUCUUAAGUGGUAUAUUAUUGUAUCUAAUACUGUAAAAAUAAUUGUAAACUUUGCCCUCAGUUUUUCCAAAACUUAAGCAAUUAGUAUCUCCAUGAUAUACUUAAUGAGUAGGGUAAUACUAAUUACUGAAGAUGUGGUUGUUUAAAAUUUUAAUCACACCCAAGGGUGCAAGAAAGCAGGAUUUUCAGAGUGACCUACGGAACCUGAGGUCCAAUGGUAUUGCGCGUGGUUAACCAACACAUGUACUAGGCAGUCUAUACCUAUGCAAAUAGCGGAGGACUUAAUAAUGUUUAAAAAAAUUUCCCUAUAGAACAGUUUUGGCUUUACUAUGUGUGCCAGGUAAUUUGUUUCUUAACUUUGUGCAAAAUUUGCUAUCGACCUAUGAUUCACCGGCCAAAUAUGCCCAGAUAAGUUCUCUACGGAAUACAGAAUGUUCUUUACAGACCAUUUGCACGUUUUUAUCAAAACGUUCAAGUUAGGCAGUCCUUGAGGUUAAAUUUCAAAUUUCAAGCAGCAUUUUUAGUUUGUUAAUAAUGUAUGGCCAAUUAAUUGGUUUUUGUUCGUUCUUGCACACAUUAUUAGUGUUGUACUUUAAACAUGCUUACUGAAUUGCUUUUAAAGUUCUUCAUAACAGCUCCCAAUUUCUUUUUCUUUUUUUUUGCUUAGCCAUUAUGGAUGAGCUUGUUAAAAAGAGUUCUUUUGUUUAUGGUCUGCUUGUUUUUUCACUGUCCACUAAGGCUAUGUAUUUGUUUACAAUUAGUCAUAUCAGCAGUAAACCGGUUUACAAAAUUUAGUCCAACUUCUUGAAGGAUAUCUUUGUAAAAAUCAGCCCAACUUCUUUGCAUUUCUGAAGUUUCAAAAUAAUUUAAGUGUAUCAUUUAUAGCAAGGCCAUCAGGAGGUGGGUUGGAAAGUUUGUAGCCGUGUUCAUUGCAGUCUAGUAUGUAUAUUCAUGAUUUGACAGUCAGCUCAUAUAGCAAAAAAAAAAAAAAAAACUGUAGGCUUCAUAAUUUUUUAUUAGCUACAACUCUGGUAUGUAAAAUUUGAAAUAAGCCCAAUGUCUGCCAUUUACCAGAAUGAGAAAAUCCACAGUUGGAACUUUGAUAAUACUUUUAUCUUUUGCUGUUAAAAGUCUGGAAAUCUUAUAUAGGAAUGUUUUCCUUCCAAAAUGUUAUGUAAUAGUACAAACUGUAGGUGGCACUGUGCUUGUGAUUGAACUAAUUUCCCUCAAAUAUGUAAAUGUAAUUUUUGUGACAAAAGUUUACCAGUUGUUAGCUUAGUGGUUUCAGUGUGUGGCAUUGAUUCUAUGCAGAGACCAAGUUAGUGUUUUUUAUUCAAGUAUGAUUUCUUAUGAGGCUGUCUGGACAUGUUUCACAAAAGGUGGAAAAUGUUUGUGUAGUUACAUGGAAAAAAUCAUAGUUAUUAAUGAGCAGCAUUUUACUCAUUAUUCUGAAAUUGUUUUAUUUCAAGAUCUUGGAAGAAGAAACUUGUAAAGAAUGUUACAAAUGUUUUAGCCAGAUGAAGUUACAAUUUUUUCAGUUAUUUUAUUUUUGUAAUGUAAUGAAAAUUUGUAAAUAUGUACAAAAUUUUUGUAUUGUUUUCUUAUGUUUAUUUUUUUAUGAAUUAUGAUUAUUUGAUAUAAUUUAUAUGGACUUAAACAGCUUACAUCAUUUCCUCAUGUCUAGAAUAACGUGGUAGUGACUAUAUGUGUUUGGAGGAAGCAAGCUUUUUUUUUGUGUGCAAAAUCGAUUAGUGUUAAAUAACUUUUAUUUUAAAUGUUGAGUGAAUAAUUUGUGUGGAACAUCAGCUACUGCCAUACGCCAAAAUGCUGGUGACUAAAAGAAAUAUUCCAAAUUGAAAAGACAGUUGAAUGAAAUUUAAUAAGACUUGACCUGCUAGCUAGUGGAAACUUUCUUCUGUGGAUGAAUACUAGUUACUUGUGAGAUUUUACAUGAGCAAAACAGGAUGAAAUAUUAAACCUUUUUAACCCAUGUGCACAAAAAGUGAAUAAGUUUCUUAUUUAGCUACUUGGUGCAUGGGAGUCACAUCAGCAUUAGCAUGAUAGGAAAAUAGAACAUUCUAUUAAUAGCUGAAUAUUCAUUUUUUUGAAUAGGUAACAAUUUAAAUGAUAUUACUUUCUGACACAAUUGUUUAAAAAUACAAGAAUUAAAGUUUUGCUUCUGGCUCUGCCUAGCAUUUUAACAUAUUGUGAUUUGAUUAAAUUGGUAAAAAAAUACUAAAAUUCAUAAUAGUCAAAGAUAAACCAAAGCAGACCUGCUUAAUAUGGCAACAAAUGAUUGUGAUUCACUUUUUUGAAAAAUGAAACCAAACCCAUUAUUAAAGUAAUUAUGCAUUAAGCAGGCGGGUUUCUUAUAAAAAUUACAUUCUAAAUAAAUGUGUGUAUGAAACUCUUAAUUGAUAAUGGUAAAAUUAUUUAAAAAAAAAAGACUUUACCACAUUCAUAGUGUUAAUUAGUACACUUCACUGUAAAAGUCCUGAAUUUAUUUUUGUUUAUAAAUCUGUUAUAUGCUCACCAACAGUUGUUUAAGUAUUUUUGCCACAAGUUAUAAUGGUGAACUGGAAAGUCAUGAACCUUAAAAAAAAUAAAAAUUUGGAUUGUAGGUUGGUUGCCAGGUUAACGUGAUCAGAGUAAAUGUUAACUGGUUGUUGAAACUUAACCUAGAGUAGUUGACCCUUGUUCAUAGAGUUUAUUUGAUCCUUUGCUCAAUCAUCUCUGGUUUGGCCUUGUGGUAGUACGGUUAGCUGAGAAAAGCAGACGAGCACAAAAGAGCAAGAGAAAAGCUAAAACAUUUUCAAUAAGUACUGGCAAAGAAGCAGGUUGUUUGCUAGAUGAGAUCUUGGAACGAAUUGAGGCACUAUGUCAUUGAGCUGAUCAGAGAGAGUGAGGGGUGAAGUGUCCCUUAAUUUCACAAUUUGCUAUUAUCAACUAGAUAAGUGAAUAUGUGCUGUCCCUUGGCAUGCUCAUAAUUAGAUUGCGUUAAGUUUAACCAAAUGGAGGUUUUGGACACCGGCCCCAUUUCACUAUAAAUACGUGACUGAGCACAUGAUUAUUUUAUUCACAUGGAAAAUAGUUAUUGGCAUUGCAAAAGUUGUUUGAAUGAAAGAAGAAAUCCUGACCUUAGAUUUUGCUUGUCGCUAUAAGUAAUUUUCAAUAUUCUGCAUGUCUUAUAAGUAACAAGUAAAAAUUAUAAUAUGAGAAAUUUUCUUAUUUGAAAUAGCACACGGCAUGCCAGAUGUUAAGCCUGGAGACUGGUUGCGAAUUAGAGAAUUACAAGUCUGCUUCCAAUCUCUUUGAGUGCUGAAUGGAAAUGGAAAGACAUGAAUCCGAAAAGGCAGUGAACCUGAGCCAGUGGUUGUACAGUAGGUCCAGUUCAGGUCACAAAAAUAUAUGGCAGUGUUGUAAUAGAUUGAACACGAGAGAAAACAUAUCUGAUGGACCGAAAGAAGAAUUAAAAUAGUGAAAUUUUGGUAUCCACUUAACAAAUAAUGUGUGCUGUUAGGAAGCCAGAUCGUGGUAGAAGUGGUGAGGAGCUGAAGUAGAUAAAAAAUCCAGAAAAAAUAAAAACACACUAUUCACUACAUUUUUGCUUGGCCAGCAAAUGGGAAUGAAUUCCCCUUAAUACGAAACAACAUCUUGUAUGGAAGAUUAUUUCACAAACUAUAUUUUAUUAUUCGGUGCACUGAUGACGUGAAUUGCUAGUCGCCCGGAUAGCGUACUGACACACAAUAGAAGUUGCUUGGAAGGGGCCAUGUGGUGGGGCCUGUAGUUUUUAGCUCUUGCCAUUAGGGGUCGAACUGGCAUCUCUAACCCUGAAAGUGCUGGGAAAUGGUUAGAGAAAAUGGUGCUGCCAUGGAACAAAAAACUCCUUAAUAAAGACUACUAGCAAGAGAGUAAUGGAUAAAUGCAAGUUUUUUAUUUUUUUGUUUUCGACUUGACAGCAAACAAUUCUUUGUGCAUGCCCAGUACAAUUGGAGAAUUUUGGGCCACGUGAUUACAUUUUAUAUAUAAAAAGUUGAAGAGUUCAUUAUCCCCCCUUUUUUGUACAUCAGCUUUAAACUAAAAAAAUUGUGAGUUUUGGUUAUACGGUUAACUUAUAAAGUAAAUGUAAUUUAAUGAUCAAAUUAAAAGUUGGGGUUUGUGUUAGAAAUGUUAUUCGGGGAUAAUUCUGGACAGGAUAUUUAAUUAAACAAAAAUAGACUUUUUUGUGCAUUUACUGUUGAACAUAGUUUUUUCUUAAGGGAUUUUGUGAUAUUCAAAUAGUAUUCUACCUGGCAAUUGUGAAGGUGAUUAAUUCAGGGGUCCUCAAUUAAUUUUUUAUUGAACAAGAGGUUCUGAACCAUGAUUUAGUAUAUGGAGUAGUUUUACCUACAUUUAUUUUUUUUUUAUUUUUUGUGAAGACAGUCUAGAAAAGUCCUUAAUAUUUUUUUUUCCCAGAAUUUUUGGUAACUGUAACUAUGCAUUACUUCAUUGGAGAAUAUGCAAGGGGAAAGUAUGUUUUGUGUUUACAAUGAAUCGCCAACUAAUCAAAAGAACAUAGGUACUGUUGGACACAUUUCUUUAGUUGAGCUAUGAUAUACAGUUGAGAUUGUUGCCAUUUAAAAUGUGGAGUUCCACAUUUUAGUAAUAUUAUUAAAAGAAACAAAAUGAUAAUUUAAUAAGAAAGUAGAAUCAUACUGUUAAUGAGAACAGUAUGUUGUAUGAGAGAAAAUGUGAAAUGAAAUGUUAAUAUUUUAACUAGUAGGCAUGUUAGAGUGGAUGAAUAAUAGAAUGUCCAUGACUUGAGUAUAUAAUGAGAGAUGAGUGGACAGUUAUGCACAGUCUUCAAAAGUUAGCAUUAAAAAAAAAGGGGGGUUGCCUGAGCUUCAACGGCAUCUGUAGAAUCUUUCAUAACUGCCGUAUUGAGUCGUAAGUCUGUGCAUAUAACCCAUUGCAAAUAGUGAAUUUAGAGAGAAAACUAUGCAAACAACGUUUGUGUGCACGCAUGUAUCUGUGCACGCAUGUAUCUGUGCAUGUAUACAGUUUUUUGGAAACUUUUCUGAAAUAUUUUGGUAGGUGAUUCUGUGUGGGAUAUUCAGAUAGUUGAAGUAGGCAGCUUAGAGACUAGCUCAAUUUCUUGGCCACUUGAAAAUCAAAAUUAGAAACUAUCUGUGCAAAAUGUGGAAACACUACUCUGCAAUUUUUUUUUAUGGUAUUUUCUCCUCUCUAAUAAUUCAUUAAAAUAGAGGAAGGAAUCCUCUUGUUAAAUUAUUGCGUACAAAUUUUUUUGUCAUUAAAUUUAAUGGAUAUGUCUCGAGUUUAUGACCUUGUGUUAUAAUAACACUAAUCUAGUUGCAACUGUCUAGGAUUCAUAGUUUGUGAAACUCUCAUGAAAUGUUUCAGCCACAAUGGUAGCAUCUGUGAAUAGGCAUUACUUGAUACAUGUAGAGUUAAGCACAAUAUUUAAGGCAGGAAAAUGGCAUACUGAUUGAUUGUCGUGAGGUACAAACAACACAUAUAAUACAUUAUUCUUUUAGCGUACUUAUUUAAUGUACAUUAGGUGUGGUCAUGUAGAAAGCUCCUGGGGAAAUGAAUCCUACUGCAUGUCGUUGAAAUACUUUCCCUUGCUGCAUGCCGAGUGUGAGGUCAGCGAUAAACAACUGUUGUGGCAAGUUUUAGUCAUAAUUGUGAGGAGGAAUAGUAGGCUGAAUAUGAUUACUUCUACUAGCAAAAAGUGUCGCUUUCUUUCAGGUGUUUAUCAGGUUUUGAAUCAUUUGCAUUUUAAGAGUUUCAGAACAACCUGUAUACAUGUGUAUGAGAGAAGACUAGAUGAGACCAAAAAGUCAGAAGUCAAAAGAGAUUACCUACCAGAUAUGCGUUAAUUUUUUUAGUUAUUUUCUAGUAAGAGUUACUAAAACAUACGCUUAUCAGUUGUUUCUUAUAGUAAUUAUUGAGGGAGUUUUGCUCCAAAAAAUCAGUUCCCAAAAAAUUUUUUGGAAUCUCUUUGGAAGUGUAAAGAUUCUGAAGAAAAUGUUAAAGGAAAGCUUUGCAAAUUUGGGAGGACUGGUUUGGUAAUAUUCCAUUAAAUACAAAAUUAAUGUGAUGCCCUCUUUUUUCUUUUAUUACAAUAACUCACUUUUUUCUGUAUCUUUUUAAUCUGUUUGUGACUUUUAAAUAAAAAUGCUGUCAAUGAGAA